GUGAACGCUAGCGGUAGGCCUAACACAUGCGAGUCGAACGGCAGCACAGUAAGAGCUUGCUCUUACGGGUGGCGAGUGGCGGACGGGUGAGGAAUACAUCGGAAUCUACUUUUUCGUGGGGGAUAACGUAGGGAAACUUACGCUAAUACCGCAUACGACCUACGGGUGAAAGCAGGGGAUCUUCGGACCUUGCGCGAUUGAAUGAGCCGAUGUCGGAUUAGCUAGUUGGCGGGGUAAAGGCCCACCAAGGCGACGAUCCGUAGCUGGUCUGAGAGGAUGAUCAGCCACACUGGAACUGAGACACGGUCCAGACUCCUACGGGAGGCAGCAGUGGGGAAUAUUGGACAAUGGGCGCAAGCCUGAUCCAGCCAUACCGCGUGGGUGAAGAAGGCCUUCGGGUUGUAAAGCCCUUUUGUUGGGAAAGAAAAGCAGCAGGUUAAUACCCCGCUGUUCUGACGGUACCCAAAGAAUAAGCACCGGCUAACUUCGUG
rnacentral:rRNA from 1 species